rnacentral:rRNA from 1 species
UACGUAGGGUGCAAGCGUUGUCCGGAAUUAUUGGGCGUAAGGAGCUCGUAGGCGGUCUGUCGCGUCGGAUGUGAAAAUCCAGGGCUCAACCCUGGACCUGCAUUCGAUACGGGCAGACUAGAGUUCGGUAGGGGAGACUGGAAUUCCUGGUGUAGCGGUGAAAUGCGCAGAUAUCAGGAGGAACACCGAUGGCGAAGGCAGGUCUCUGGGCAUUAACUGACGCUGAGGAGCGAAAGCGUGGGGAGCAAACAGG